AUCACCAUUUGGAACAAAGGCCACGACCCAAAACUUCUAGAACAACUAGCAAUCAAAGCUAUGUCCUAAUGCUAAGUCAGCAGCAAAUUAGCCAAGAGACAGUACAUUUCCUAGAUAUAAAGUUAGAAGUAAGAAAUAAGAAUUUAGAUAUGACAGUGUAUAGAAAGCCAAUUUAUGAACCAAUCAUCAUACCAAGAUGGUCUCCAGACCCCAUCUCAUACAAAAAGUCUUCAUUUAGUUUUUACUUUAAAAGGGCUGCUACCUACAUCACUAACUGCCAAGAGAUGAAUGCGGAACUUAAAUAUACUUACAAUACAGGCCGGUUAUAUGGUUACAGCAAACAUUUCC
rnacentral:lncRNA from 1 species